rnacentral:rRNA from 1 species
UACAGAGGGUGCUAGCGUUGUCCGGAUUUAUUGGGCGUAAAGAGCGUGUAGGCGGCCAGACAGGUCCACUGUGAAAACUCGAGGCUCAACCUCGAGAGGUCGGUGGAAACCGUCUGGCUAGAGUCCGGAAGAGGAGAGUGGAAUUCCCGGUGUAGCGGUGAAAUGCGCAGAUAUCGGGAAGAACACCCGUGGCGAAGGCGGCUCUCUGGGACGGUACUGACGCUGAGACGCGAAAGCGUGGGGAGCGAACAGG